AAAUACUAUUUAAAGAUAAAAGCAUUUUUAUAAAUGAUAAACACUCACCGUAAUACAUGGUUAGAAAUAUACUAUGAAAUAAAACUGACCGUAAAACAUAAAUCAUUCAAUAUAGAAGCAGUCUUGGGCGCCUUUUUGCAAUAAAAUAACUAACUUUUUUAAAUUGUUAACUAAAUAAUCUUUAUAAGUAGUCGCCCGUUGUCAGGAAAACCUGGAAAUGUCACGGAUUUUUUAAAUCCACCUUACAAAGCCAGAAAAUGUCAUGGAAAAAGUCAACGGGAUCGAGUGUGCCGGAUAUACCUAAGGCCCGUUUGACAUUGCAGGACAUUUCGCGUAGUGCUGUUCGCAUGCCGAAGACUUGGCUGGUGGCAAACAAAACUUUCAAUGGAGUCUACAUCAUUGGAUUUUAUACGAUCAGUUUUUGUAAAAAUUUCUGAGAUACUGUCUUCCUCCUGAUUGAGAAACAAGUAACCCUAUCCGAAGAUAGCGAGGGUAUACGUGCGAAGAUUAAUGUUAUGGGCCAUCCCGUCGGUGCUGCAAUUGGAUUACUCACUGAGGAACCGAUCACUGAGAUUCAGUAUCCAUCAUUCAACUGUCGUUCGACAUUUAAAAGCCAUGGAAAAAGUAAAAAAGUUGGAUAAAUGGGUUCCCCAUAAACUGACAGAAAAGGAUAAGAUGAAACGUUUAGACCACACAUUGCAAAAAAAAUCGUAAAAAAACUAGACAAAUUGAAGUUCGAAGUUUUUCUUCAUUUUCCUUAUUCUCCAGACAUUUCACCAACAGAUUACCAUCUAUUUAAGCAUCUGGAUGGGUUUUUAACUGGGAAAAUUUUUCAAGAAAGACUUGUAAAAAAUGCAUUCCACGAAUUCAUCAACUCUUGUUCUUCAGAUUUCUUUAAGAAUGACAUUGAUGCACUUAUAUCACGUUGUCAAAAGUGCAUUGAAGCAGAUGGAAACUAUUUCGAUUAAUAAAACAAGUUUUAAGCUUAUCAAAUAAAAGUCUAAAGUUUAUUACUAAAGUAAAUUAAAAAACGGCCAUUUUAUUUGCAUCAACCUAAUAUUCCGAAGAAUCAGCGUACUGUGAUACAGAAAAUUUUGCAGACAAGUCAGUGCGAAAGCUCCAAAGGGAGACGAUACUCUCAAAAAUGGAUCCUGCUAUGCAUAUUAAUGUGUAUGCGUUUUCCCCAAGGAUAUAGAUUCUUACGUGACCAAAGCAUAUUGCCUUUACUCAACACACGGACAGUUCGAAGGUAUCUCUGUCAUCGAUACAAAGUGUGAAUUCCAGAACUUUUUAAAAUUGUUUUGCCAAAUUCAUGAUCGACAAACCAGACCUGCAGAAGCACGGAGCACAUCUCAUUGACUAAAUGUCCACUCGCAAAAGCAUCAGCGUUAAAAGUACCAAAUCUAACGUACAAAGGUCUUGUGAAUUUUGAUGAAGAUGAUCACGCCACAAAUACCGGUGACAAGUAUUCUAUGACUUUUAAAUUUUAUAAACUCUUGUAAUUGCUUUAUCAAACAUUAUCAAUAAGUAUAUAGUAUUGACAAGACUAGUAUUUUCAAGACUGUCUUUCAUUGCGCUUUCUGUAAUUUGUAGUAUCAAUUCUAUACAACUUUCAAAAGAGGAGAUUUUUACAAUUAUUUAUAGUUUCUAUGAAGUCGCAAUAAAAUAAUAAUUAAAAUUCAUACAAAUUUAACCAAUCAGAUUUCAAAAUAGAGAUUUGAAGCUUGAAAAUACUUAUUUAUUUUUAAAUCCUUAUUUAGUUACUCGCUAUUUAAUUUCUAACUUGUAUAUAAUAAUGUAUUGUGUUCAAAAUAUUUUACUUUUUUUUAUUUUUCUUCGGAAAUACAAAUGAACGAUACCAGUCGAUUUAUGCACCACCAAGCGGAUUAAUGUUCCUAUAAAACAAAACCUGGCCGCGCAAAACUCGGCAGGUCAUCCCCGUGUUUCUAUCUAAGAGCGGUAUUCAUAGUUCGUUCUUGUAUUUAAGAUCGUCUUAAAUCGUUGUCGUCGUCGUCUUAAGAUACUAAUAUAGUAUUCUGAUUGGUUCGUAGCAUCUUAAGAUAAUUUUUUACAACGAUGAUCUACUUCUCCGAUUUGUAAAUCUACAUGAAUAAAAAUGUACCUUAAUCAUUAAAAUUUUCAACUCAGCCAAUUUUUUGACCAUACAUAUUUUAUUAACAAUAUCAUUUUGAGGACAAACGUUUGAGAAUAUUUUAUUAUUAGUUAAUAAUGUACAUUAGACAUGUGUGUCUACUUACAGUGCUGGAAAAUACAUAUUGUACAAACGUAGUUCUUGCUAAUUAAUAUAAUACAACGAUCACUGUUCAUUUGAUGAGUAUUCAAUAA